CUCACCUAGUAUCUGAAGAGGACAGUCUCUAUCUACCAAACCUUCCAUUUCUCCCAAACUAAAUUUAAAUGAGACCUUAAGGUCUCUUUAGAAAGUAUAGCUAGUUCUCUUUACUUCCGUCCUGCAGGUUUUGUAACAGUUACAAAGGCCUGCAGUAAAUAUUAAAUUGUCAGAUUUUUAAGGCUGAGAAGUAUUUUUGUUGCAGUAGGACCCAAAAGCUCCAACCAUGACUGAUGCUCCACUAUGCUAAUGGCUGUACAAAACACACAGGAAGAUGUAGUCCCUGCCCCAAAGAGCUUACACACUAAUGAGAUGCAACAAGACCAUGAGGAUUAGCGGCACUGGAAAAAAGGCAUAUAGAAGAUACUUUGACCACAAGAGGAGAAAGGCAUCUCACAAGGAAUGAUGACCCAGACCUCCCCUCGAGCAGAAGUUCACGCAGCUCCAGCUAACAAUGGUGGUGAAGAGAUCUAUCACUGGAAAUUCCCAGGUCUGUUACUGAGGUUCAUCAAGAAGAUUUCUAACAAUAAUUGGCUUCUACCUCUUCUGGUACCAGUGGACAACAUAAACAGCCUUAACAAGAUGCCCUUCAGAGACUAACACUUUAAUUUACAGAAGAGCAAGAAAUAGGCCACGCACAGCCUACCUGCUUCAGUGCAACUUUUUUUACUUUAAUACCUAAUUGCCUGGACUACAUUCCCCCUAUGCUCAAGUAAGUACUGUUGUAAAAUGCUGAGUAGUUUUCAACUUCCACUGAAGUCAAUGGGAGCUGAAGCUGCUCAGUACCUUAUGGAGGUGGGGGUUGAAUGCAAUGAUGCCCAGCAGAGUUACUCCAGCCAAGAGAAGAAGAAAUCCUCAAUUGUGUUGAGACUUUGAGAAGAGCUAAAGCUGGGAACUAAAGAGUACAGGAUGCAACAGCUUAAUGUGUAUGAAUAAUUCAGGAUCUGGGAACGCCAGGAUCUCUGAGCAGCAGGAGCCUGCACAACCUAGAAAGUCAAGAACAUGGUCUAAUGAUCCUUCAAUUAGGCAAUGUAAUUGACAUUCUCUUAAUAAAAGGGAAC